UGAACGAAGAGUUUGAUCCUGGCUCAGGAUGAACGCUGACAGAAUGCUUAACACAUGCAAGUCUACUUGAUCCUUCGGGUGAUGGUGGCGGACGGGUGAGUAACGCGUAAAGAACUUCG
rnacentral:ncRNA from 1 species